rnacentral:rRNA from 1 species
GUGCGUGGUUUGCGGUUGUUGUCUCGUCCAGAGGCAGAGGGUGAGAAGGAGAGAGCUAUACGUUUAGAGGUUUGGAUCGACUGGCAACUGCCGCGGCCGCGGUAGCGGUCGUUCGCUCCAGGCUGCCUGCUCCACCCGGGAGAAGGGAGACCGGCAGAGGGAAGGGAGGGGAGGCCGGAGGUACCGACACCAGGUACGCCCCGUCGCGGCGACGCCCGAAGGAGGCCGGAGGCAGCGGCAGCCGUCAGUGGCGAAGUCAGGCGGUCGGCUGUCCGAUCUUCCUCUUCGGUGGGUUACAGGUUAGGUAGGUCAUGACGUAGGUAGAUGUUUAAUGGUUCUACUUCUUCAUACAACCGUAUAAACUUAACACCCUGUAUAGAAGUUUGAUUCCGUUCCUUUUGUUAAAGAUGCAGGUGUAAACAACAGACAAGAUAAUAUAACGAAACCGG